AGAUGCACCCCAGGAGCAGGGGCAGACCCGGGCCCUACAGGUCCCCCUUUUAUAUAAAUUAUAUGACUAGGCCUGUCUUGGGUGGCAUUGGAUGUCAUGCAAUACCUCUUACCCAUCAUGGGAAAGCAUCCAGGUUAAAACACAUUUCCUGUCUUAGGUUGGGGCUGCCCCCCCAAACCUUUCCCAUUAUUGGCUCAUUAGUCACCCAUCAUUGAGUUCAGCCAGAUUUGUGCUGAAAGAUUCUCUGGGGCAAUAAUAGCUAAGAGGACUUGCCAUGUGGCAACAUUGACCUGAGCUUGCCUUUGGCUCUGGCACCAUGAAAACAUGAAGAUGAUGCUCCAGCACAUAUAAGCAUACGGUGUCUGCUCAAUCCUUAAUAAGUCUGCCCAAAUUGGAGCCCUUUAAGUAAGGUCUCAGUACUGGUGGAAGGAACCCUGGUAUAGCUAACUAGAAUAAUGUCAAUAGCCAAUUUGUAAUUUGUGCAUUCCAGGGUCCAUGAAUAACAGCAAUACGCCUUUACUAUAACCUAGCAGAGGUCAUAAACCAUAACCAAUUACAAAAUUAACUGCAAUAUUUAUUUGUAAAUUUAUCUCAAUUUGAAUGGCCAAGGCAUUUGCAACCUGCCCUGAGAAGAUAUCCAUUGUGCUAGCAGAAGCAACUGACUGACUAAUGGAAAAUCCAGCAGCUGUAGCUGCUUUGUCUGCCACAGCCAUGGCUGCCAAUAUCGUGGGAUGGGUCGAUAGGUAGAUGAACAAUCCUUGGCACUCGGACCACCACAGCCAGCUCCUCAGGAUCCCAGCAACUCUUCAGUUGACAAGCUGGUGUCUAUUUGAUCUCUUGGCUCUGUCCUGUCUUCAGGCUUCUGGACAGGAAAAUCCACAGCACGCAUCAGACGUUCAGGUACCCAAACUGGAUUGUCAGCAUCCUGCAGGCCCAACAUUUUCCUUGGUGUCAUAUUAACUCUGUCAUGCUGGUAUGAGAACAGCAGGAAGUAUUGGAGCAGAGGGUUUCUAUUCCAGGACCUAAUGACAAAGGGCCAUGGCUGUCUGUGAUCAGCCACCCAGGCUCAUGAAGUUGAAACUGACUUGUUAACCUCGUUUACAUCAGGAGUCAUACCUAUAUUCUGCUGCCUGUCAGGCUCAGAACCAAAUCCAGACUAUCUUUUCAGCUCGUGUUAAUGCCUGCUACGGGAUCCGAAGUCACUAGCAUGAGCACGGAUGUUUCUUCCAUGUUCUAGGUGGCUUCUUCCAGGGAAGGUGCUAAUCAUUUCCCUUUUCCACUGACACCGAAUCCAGUGGCGGGACAGCGAUUGGAUCCACCCAAUGGGCUCUAACAGUUAUCCUGGGGAGACAGACUACAUUACUGUAUUGUCAGGUGCACUUGGGCCUGAUAUCCUACAUUAAGUGUGACCCCAGCUGGGCGCCCCACCUGGGUGGGGAGAAUGAGUGCCGUUCAGCACAGCAGGAACAAACCAAGAAUUGUGCCUCUCAGGACAGGCAGAUUCCUAAAGUGGAACUAAGUGGUCCCUGCAGAGCAGGAGCAGGCCGGCUCGCGCAGCUGGAGGAGCGUCCCUCCUUAGCCUCCUUCUCAUUCUUGAGGACCCAAGUGUGGCCAGUGUGACUGCAGAAACUGCAAAGCAGCAGCUCUUCAGUCUGGGGAAGGUUGCUGGGAGGGAAAAAAAAAACAAAAACCACGUUAUUUUGUUAUCAAAUGGUGGAAGAGCCGGGCGUGCUUCUCAGUACUCCUUAGCCACUCUUUCUCCAUGUUAUGAUUUCUGAUGCUCCCCAGAGCUCCUUUUUUUCUGGAACCAUUUUGCUUUAGAAGUCACUUCGAUGCCCAGGCCCCUCCUGCUACACACUUCCCUCAACUUGUCUGACAAGUCCAGAGCUUUGAGAGAAGGGACUUCGGGACCUGCCCAGCCUAGGUGAUAGAUGGAGCUUUGGUGGUGGGAGGAUGGGUGGGGUGUGAGCAUUGGGAUGCUGAGCAAGUGGGGAACUGCUAGACUCCCCCAAGCUUGACAUGUCGUCCCGGCAAUAAAAGUAAUGAAGGAAUUUCGGGGGGAAGGCUGCUGGGAAAAUUCAAGGCAGACAACAGUGCCACAGUGUAGUUCCUAUAAGUUCUCUCUCAUAUUCUGUAAGCAAGAACAAAAGUGAUUGAAGGGUUUGUAGAGCUUUUCUGGCUGUGGAAGGUGGUGUGUAAGAUUGCCCUAAGAAAUGGCUUCUACUUCAGACCUCACUCACCAGAGCCUUUUGUAUGCACAACACGACCAUUCUGAUCCUUAAAAUACUUGUGUUUGCAGUCACUUUCAGAAAUGUUCAACCUUGGUAAAUGAAUCAACAGCUAUAUGGAUGAACAAAUGAAUGAUGGCAUGAGUUUAUCACAAGCUCUGGCUUGGGGAGGAGAGGUUCGUGGUGCUUACCUUUGUAGAAGACAGGCCUGGAGUUGAAUCCCAGCUCAGCCACUUGCAAGCUGUGUGACAUAGGAAUAGGUUAUUGAACUUCUCUGAGCCUCCCUUUCCUCAACUUUGUCCGUGCCAAAGAUCUCUGGGAAAUCCAAACAAUACCCUCUCUAUUCCCUAGCACAGGGCUGUUUGUUACACAGCACCAUAAUGAUGGGCUAGCUUAAGAGGACAGAGAUUGGGUGGCAGCAGCUUCCUCAGCUCAUGGAGGCUUGUUGGCUCAGUGGCCUAGAGUUAGGGGACUUGUUUGCUCAGUGGUGGCCUAGAGUCAGGUGAAAGAAAAGAACUGAGCUAGGUCCAUCCCCAAAUGCACGUCUGAUCUUCACCACUUGGACUUGGAGAGGCCCAAACACAAGCACUAAGUAUAUAACCUGGGCAUGACAGAGGUGUCUGGCAGCAGACGGAGUGUGUGCCCUGGGAGACAGAUCUUGGGGAAGAGUGACGAGGAGGUGGGGAGGAAAAUCUACCAGAUUAGCAUCCAUGACAACGCUUGCAGUGGGCAUCAAAACUUCUGUUGGAUCCAUGAAGGCUUAAGAACCCAAAUUUAUAGAUCAGCAAGAAGGGUGCUGGGGGAGAGGUUGGUGUCUGGGUUGGAGGCUGGGAACAAGUGAAGCUUAGAUUAUCUAGACCUCUCCUGACUUAAAGACACAGCCCUGGAGUCCCAUGAGGGUCUGCCAGUUUCUGAGCGUACUCUUACACUGCAAGUGGGCUGCAGUGGGGGCAGGAGGAAGGCACAAAGCUCUAAGAGCAGUUCCACAGUGGAGUUCCUACCGAAGGUCUGCCGAAGCAUGGUGCUGCACUGUCUCAGCAGCAAAGGCUUUCUGGGCCCCUGUCCUGUAAAACCACCCGGUCCCCACCUGCUACUCAGAGUCACCUUUCCUCUAGAAGCUGGCAAUGGCAAUGCUAAGGUCUCCUCAUCUCAAUUUCUCAUCUUCACAGUCCCCACCCCAUCCCCCACAUUAUCACACGACGUCCUCUUCCAGUAUCAAGACUUCGGAAGCCUUUCCGUUUCUUCCUGAGAUGCUUCAUAGGGCCCCUGGGAUCUUGGCUUGCUUUUCCUGACCUGUAGUGUCUCUGCCUCUGCAGCGGUCUGCUCCCCCCAUCCAUGCCAUCAGACACAAAGUUGUGGCCCUAAGUAGCUGGAAAUCCUCUGCUCUCUUUUGGGGGCAGCUGAGAGCUGCUGCAGUCCACACAGCGUGGCGUGGUGGACUUUGGCCAGCACAAGAUCUGUGACUCUGGCUUACGCCAGUGUUGUCCAAAGCCUUCACCUCCUGCCCUGCGGCUCUAUAUCCAUCCCCACAUUAGCUAGUGGAAGUGCACACAGAGCUGACUCCUCAGCCCAAUUUCUACUCUUGAUGACAGUUCUCAUGAAAUUUGCCCUCUCAUCCCAAGGCCUAAGUCACUUUAGUUGUAUGAGGAUGAACCUCCUCAUUGCUGGUUCCCUUCCUGCUAUGCAUCUCCUUCCGUAACUUGCUGAUAGUUCUCUUGUUUUUGACUAACGCUGAACUUUCACCAUUAGUCCUGCCUCUUCCCUUUCCCUCUUAAGCAUUUGUCCCCCUACCGGCUCUUCUCCAGGCUCUGACUAGCCAUUCUCAACCCUAUAGACACUGGCCUGUCACCACUUUCUUUUAUAGUUAAAGGUCUUACAAGUCCUGCCUGCAGUUGGUGUCUGUGAGGUAACCACCCCUCCCCUUCACUUCUCAACCUUCCUAACUCAGGUUCUGCCUGUAAACCCAAUGGACUGAAUCACGACUAAGUUUCACAUCACAAGCCCAGCGGACUCCACUUCUCAGUUCUCAAAGCCAGAGGGGCUCGAGGGGAGGCCACGGUUGACUCUGGCUCUGCCUCUGCCUCACCUUCCGAGACAGUGCCACCCCCUUUCUUGUCUGUCUUUCUCUAGCUGGCAGCUUCCAGUCUCCCUGUCCUGCUUUUCUGUCUGCCUCACUGGAAGACCGGAGCUUGCGAGCAUCUUAUAGAAGCUUCUGGCAGCCUUUGUUUGCAGUGGGACCUGAAUCCCAGUUGUUUUUCGUGCCUGGAGUCUGGGUAACUCCACACCUCUGUCUUUUUUUCCUUUAUUACCUAUGGUCUUGGUAAAUACUGCCUUCAACGGCUUGAGGUUUGACUUAUUCUGGAUCUUGGAGAUAGCUCAACCCAGCUGGGCACCUUCACAGCUCCUUCUCGUUUUGGUGACUCCUCUUAUGUGGUCCCUGGCCCCAUUGAUUUUCCCUUCUGACUGCUUGCAAGGGUGGCUCUUGUCUGUUUUUAUCUGCACUACCUAGCUUCCAACUCAUGGCAUCUUCACAACAGCCACCUCCUGCCUUCUCGGGGCCUCGGUCUCUCCACUCCCUGCACAGGACUGCUAAGCAUGCAGGUCACGCUUUCCUUCUGUUGUCUUUCUGUAUAUUCUGUUGGCAUCUGCCUCCCUUGUAGGCACAUAGUGAAUGGGGCCCACUUUCUACUCCACUCUCCUGUUCACUCUUCCUGGCAGCUUUGCACCCAAUGUCUGCCCUCUACUACUUCCACCCUGAGUGGUCCCUCCUAGGAGUGGGCAUCUCCCAUCACCAUCCUUUGAUGCCCUGUGCAGGCUUCACACCCACACUUAGCUCAGCAGCUUCCUCUUCUUGACUUAAUCCCCCUAUUGUUUUAAGGUGGUUAACUUCCCUCACUGCUUACAGUGGCUCUCAGGAGUUAUACAAGAGUUUUUCUUGGUUGCUGUUCCUAGAUCUUUCAUAGAAGGCCUUCCAAGACCCUCACUUUUCUAUCCAGAAAUUACCUUUCAGUCAAGGACUUUUCCCUGGGCAAAGAAUCUUUAGGACAGGGAUCAUGUCUUAUUUAUCUCUAUAUCCCUAGGACCCAGCAUUGUCCUUGAACUUGUUAGGCUAUCAUAGACACUUGAAAAUGAACCGAUUAACUUCGGGAAUGUGUCUAAGAGGUGUUCAGACUUCUGCUCAGUCGUUAUUCACUUUUCUGCUCAUCUUGGUGGCAAGGAACUGUCAGAUCAGCUUUAGAUGGGCGAGCUCCCCCGUGGAGGGCCCAUUGCAGCCUGGUGACCUGGAGAAUGGGAAUGGGAAACUCACACUGCACAUCACUGACUGCUUGACUAGACUCUGCAAGGAGGAAAUCCCAGAUGGGCUACACUGAGUUCUAUUUAAUCUUUGUCCCAGUCGAAUACAGUAGCCCCAGUGGGAUCCUGGCUUGGCCUUGGGGUCUCAGGGGUUGGAGGAUGGUGUUCAUGAAUGAAGGGAGGAUUGGGGUAGAAGGUACAGAAAAUUUGAGAUGGGAGGGGCUGAGCAGCAAAAGGGAUCAAGCCUUCUUAUUCUGGAUGCCUGGAGCUCGCUGGGCUCCCAGGAGGUGUGGAAAUCCUAUCUGAGCCUCUGUGUUCUCACACAGACAAUUUAUCCCAGAGGCUAUUAAAUCUCCACCCCUCACUUUGAUUUUGUUUACAGUCUCUGGCAUGUAUACCCAGCUAUCUGACCACUGCUGGAGUACUCAGCUCUUGGGGACCUCUUCAGCUUUGCCAGACCCCACUCUCUGGGGGUGCUAAUACCAUCUCCCAUUUGGAAGACAUGGCUGAUCCUUGCUGCUUGGGUCACUAGCAGAAGUGGGGGACAGAUGGCAAGCCUCGACCUAUUUGCAAGGCUCCGGCAGUGAGAUAGCCUCUGGCCACAGUGGGAAAGCCAGCUGGUUCUAGGCAGACCAUUUCAAGAAGUCUGAUUUCUUCCAUUUAACAGGUCCAUAAACAGUGAACCAGGGAAGUACCUGCUAGCAGGUCCAUGCCUAGGUAGGAGGCCCUAAACUCUUAUUGAUCUUUUGACAUGGGCCUUGUUCAUAUCUUGUUAGCACACUUGUUCCUUCUCCUUCUUCCAUAAUCUCUUAAAGUAAGGGUUUGGCUCAGUGCUCUUUGCAGAAGCCUCAAGACAAGGCAAAGCAGAAGAGUCCUUGCUAAAGUAUCUUGUAAGGCAGAGUCCUUGCCCAGACUCAUUAAAGCAGAACAUUGAAUUUGACCGCAACUCCUUGAGUGGUUCCUUUUUUUUCUACCUCUUCAGCAUCUGAAACUAUGGUUUUGUACGUGAGCAUCCAGGUGUAGAUCAAGAGUUUGAUCAUACUGAAACUGGGUUGAGAGCCUGUUUAUCUGAAGGGUGAUGGAGGGAAAGGCCCUGAAGGUACUGGUCUCAAGGGCCGCCUCUGGAGAAUCUGGAGCAACAGUUCCCAGAGAAUCACCAACCUCUCUGGACUGAGAGGGGGGUGGUUGUAGGGUUUUCAAAGAAUACUUUAAAAACAGAUUUAUUGACACAUCUUCCUAGUACAAAAAUGGUUUAGAGUAAGGAGAGGCAGAGGGCCUAAAAAGUUAGUUACUAAUGUGUUCAUUCAUUAAUUCAACCAUAUCUUAAAACACCUACUAUGUGCUGAGUGCUGUCUGAGUACUGAGAGGACUGAAAUGAAGGCGUGACUCUGCCCUCCUGAGCUUGCAGCUGCGUCAGUAGGCAGGAACUUGAGCAGCACAGCAAGGGUUUGGGAGGCUUGGCUUUCAUUUCCACUCGCCCCUUGACUUUCCUACAACGGAUAUUAUUGCCUUCAAGCUCAGAAACAUUUUCUAUGAAGACAUAUGAUGGGGCCUUUAAAAAGAUAGCCACACUCUGCCUUAGAGAGCAGCGUUCUCAACACACAACCUUAUUUUGGACGAUUUGGUCCUAAGUCCACCCUUCUUUGAAUGCUUCUGAAUGUUUUUCACUUGUUUCCUAGUGAGUCCCAAAAGUGGUGACAGUUCGUUCUCUUUCAGGUCCUCACUGUGGCUGUAUCCUAAUGGUCUAUGCCCAUUGAGAACCAGUGACUGAACAAGCUAGAUUUUAUUUUGGUUGAAGAGCAAACUUAACUUUAUUCAAUUCCAGGUUAAGGAGUUUUGCUUUAGCAAUAAUUGAAUACUUUCAUAGCUGCUCUCCUUACCUUCCUACCGGCUUGUCCUUUGCCCCCCCCCAAUUUCUGUAUUUUAUGUAAUCAGAACUGAAGGACAUAACUUUAAACUAAGGUGGUUCAACACUUGACCUGUCAAAGUGACUGGUAGCAUCUAUAUUGAUGGGCAGAAAGAAUAUUCAUAUUCUGAGAAGCCAAAGAAUGAUUUCCGGAAAUGAAACUGAACUGAGCCUCAGGGACAGGGUAGGGCCCAGAUGAGUUGAAAGAGGAAUCAAAAUUUUAAGAAGAGGGUAGACUAUACUCUCCAGUGGAAUCAGAUGGCAUCAUUUUGAGAAAUUAAUCUACAUCUUUAUGGAGUUACACAGUGAUACUGUAUCACCAUGGUGCCAGUCCACGUGAGGGCUCAUCCUCUAGAUUUGGGGGAAAAAAUACUUGCAUAAUUUCCCUACAGAUUUAGCAGCAUGCCCUUUACUAUUUACCUCAACAAGAAGUAGUCAUCUGUUCACUUUUUGUUGAGCAAUCUUCCUUCACAAUUUGUGUGUAUCUCUCUAUCUUCUGAGAUCAUUCAUGUCCUUGGCUUGGCUCUGUCCCUGUCUGUGAGAUGCUACAGUACAUUUGCUGACUGACUGCUGCUUGUCAGGGAAGGUGAAUGUCAGAAAAGAAAACCAUAGCCUGGCUUUUACUCAGAUGAGGUAAAAUUAGGCAUCACAUAGAACUUCAAUGCGUACUUCAAACGUGAAGGUGGGAGGCUGGUUUCAUGAACUUUAUGUGCUGUUAAAGACCCAACUCAUCCCCCAGAACCAAAGUUUCUUGAAUACUCUAGGGAAAUUAAACUUGCAAUCAAGAGCCACUACAUAGGGGUUAACUGCUGUGACAUCUGUUAGUGAUGAAACCCUUAGGUUCUUUGCAAGGUUAUCCUUGGGGAAUCUAGAAAUUCUUGGAACAAUUUCUAGAGAUUCUUGUAAACAAAAAAGUCUGCUACUUGGGCCAUUAGGAGGGUUAUACACUCAAAUUGAAUGGCAAGAGAGACAAGAAGUCAGUCUACUAAAUUCGUGAUGCAAUACUUCUUUUCCAAAGUUGAAAUUUUUUUAAAUGGUAAAGAAACGUUAAAUCCAUCCAUUCAUCCACCCAUCCAUCCAUCCAUCCAUCCAUCCAUCCAUCCAUCCAUCCAUCCAUUCAUCCAUCCAUCCAACAACUAUUUAUUGAGAACAUAUCAUGUGUUUUGGCUCAAGAAGGGGGAUUAAACAAAAGUGAAAACUUCACCUUUCCACUCAAAAUCCCAAGGAAGAACAGUAUAUGCUUUAAAACCAUUGGCGGGUCCAAAAGCAGGAACUGUCUUCGAUGCAUUAAAACUGGAAGACAUCUGGGAAACAUGGAAAGCCAGUGCAGCCAGUUUUCUGAUGGAGGCAUUGCUGUGAAUACUGUCGUAGAAGUGACCUGUAAAAAGUGUGCUUUUGCUUCUAAGUGACAGGUGUGGGGUGGAAGGGAGCUGAGAGCACACAGUGGAGGGAGUGGCUGUGACUGCUGGGAUGAGCAGAUAGUCACGGUGAUUGCCCUGUAAGUGCCCCUAUCCUGGACUUUCUCAGACAUUUGGGUUGCAAGGUCCAAGUGGAGCUCUUCAGUCUACACAAGCCAAGAGGCAGACAUCCCUGCUAGUCUACCAAUGACAGAUACCUUCCCCGUGUUGGACAGAAGGAAGCAAAACUUGCCAAGAGUGCAUACAGCAUUUUUCUCAUACACAAAUGAACAUCAUGUAUGAGGAAUUAGAGAAGUUGUACUGACAUCAACAGAAUUCACAGCAAAGGAAAGGCGAUGUGUAAGCAGAAUGGAGCUUGGAAAUAAAUGUGGCUAGCAGAUACGCAAAGAGCUCUUGGGAACCAAAUUGCUAAACAUUUAAAACCAACAGAUCAGUUCCAAUAGCAGAGUGAAUGGGACUGAAGAGAAAACCAGUGAAUGGGGAGUGGGAAUUGGACUAUGGCACCUAAAAAGAUGAUGAGGUAGAGACUUGGAGCUAAGGGUUGAGGUGAGGAGUGUGUCUGAACAAUUCAACAUUUCUCUGUAAGGUGUUUUAGAGGGUGGGGUGGGGUAAAGAACUGAAAAGAGAAACAGUAGAAAUGAAACAAGAUAAAAAUCCCAAGCAUUAAAUAGCAUGACCUCUUGCCAAGUUAGAAUGCUUAAGAAAAUAUCCAUGGCCAAGUGAACACGUCAUGGCACGAGGACAACAUGAGGGGAGGAGCUUAGGGAAGGAGCGUUGAGAAGAGCGAGCGAAGAGGAGCAAGCACAAGAGUGACAGCCUCUCUCACUGACAGCAUACAUGUAAAAGUGACAGCCUCUUGCUGACAGCAUAUAUGUAAAAGAGCAUAGCUGUGGCAAAUGUCACCGAGUCUGCAUCAUCACCCACCCAGUAUGGACCAUGGCUCCAUAACCUUCCAUGAGCUGGGUAAGGUCCUAGGGGUUAAACAUAAGACAUAGACAUAUACAGAGAGUUUGAGUCAUUCGCCAAGAGGAGAAUGCCCAUUUAUUUAGCUUAAUUCAGGGUUAAUAUACUUUGCCUCCAAAAGAGGAGAACCCCCUCCCAGUCAGGAGUGAGAUCAAAGCGUUAAGAGCCUGGUGCCCUGUGACAGGUCCUUCCCAGGCAGGUUGGCGAGGGGUGCAGGUCAGUGUCAGACAGGGUAGAGGGACCUUGGCGCCUGGGCUCUCCCGGGCAGGUUGAAAAAUUUCCAUUUCAAAGUAAUAUAAAAGCCAUAUGGCUAUUUUACCAGGCUAGAGUAGAAAGCACGGAACUAGCAGGAAGCUUUAGCUGGUUAGCAAAAAGAGUCCUUGAUUUGCACCUCGAGAGGCAGGGGAAAACCUGGAAUCCCAACAUAUAGCCUCUCUCACUGAUGGCUACAUGUAAAUGAGUGACAGCCUCUCGCUGAUGGCAUACAUGUAAGAGUAAGAGUGACAGCCUCUCAUUGAUGACAUGUAUGAGAAAGAGUGAUAGCCUCUUAUGUAAAAGAGUGAUAGUCUCUCUCACUGAUGGCAUACAUGUAAGAGUAACAGCCUCUCACUAAUGGCAUACAUGUAAAAGAGCAAUGGAAUCACAAAAUCUAUACAGGUGGGAAAGAUAUUUGGCUUGACACUAUAUAUCCGUCAAAAUUAACAAAUGUGUGGAUGAAAAGUUGUUUCAGGCUUCCUGGGUUCAGAGUUCAUCAUUUCUUGGCUAGCACGUGUGUGCGUGCAUUCUUCCCCAACACACACCACUAAAGGUCAUCAUUUAAAAGCAAAACAGUGGGAAAAGGGAGUCAAGAAAAUUGCUUUAUUAUACACACUUGUGCAUUACAGACAGCAAAGUAAGAUGGCCUCCGAUAUUCACCAGCUGAGCGGUGGCUGAGAAGGCAUGGACGGAGUUUUUAGAGACCAAUGGCCAAGCUGUAGCUGUUUAUAAAAGGUCUUGUUGGCUCGAGGGGUCUUACAAGUGUAGUGUAUGUGUAGAAAGUGUAGAAUAGACUUGUCUUUUUAGCACCCAGGGGCAGUUUUGGCUACCAGGGGCAAGGAGGAUUGGAGAGACAGCUCAGUGGUUAAGACCUCAUAUUGCUUUUGCAGAGGACCUGAGUUCAGUUCCCAGUGCCCACAUAAAAUGACUCACACAACUGCCGGUAACUCCAGCUCCAGGACAUCUGAUGUCCCAUUCUGGCUCCCAAGGGCAAGUACAUUCAUGUACCCCACCCCCACAUACACAAGUACACAUAAUUAAAAUUAAAAAAAUCUUGGGAAAGAGUAUGGCUGCCUGUCUGGAAUUGCCACGCCUUCAUUUAAUAUUUACUGUUCCUUAAAUUCACUUGGGGGCACCUUAGCAGUGAGAGUGUAGUAAUUAUUCCCCAGACAGAAGUUUUAGUUGCAGCAAGUACAUCUCAAUGACUUUCCUUAUUGGAUGAAGUACAGAGGUAGAGUUGAUUGCCCAGGAUCGUAGGUGCACACCCCACUGAACAGAAAGAGGCAUGGAUAGGGCCUCUUAAGAUAGCCAGUGGCUUGGCAUUCUCGGGCACAGCCAGCCCUGCUAGAUGGAGGAGGGAGGCUAGUUAGAAGGUUCUGGCAGACUUGGAGGCUAUUUGGGGAGGCUAUAUCUUCUGGAAUAGGACUGCUCCACAGCAUACCCCUCUGGCAGACUUCCUGGGUAGGGCUGUGAAUAGAAAGGAGGCUGGUCUAGCUGCUUGUCCAGCUGCCAGGGUCCCAGCAAGGGUACAGUCAAUCAUCCUGGAUCCCCUGGGAAGCCUAUCCACAGGCCAGGAUUCAGAAACAAUUAAAAUUUUUUAUUAAAAUAAUUCUUCACCUUCAAAUUUAUGUACUCUGCCUACUGUUGUGUUUGGGAAAGCCGAAUGGGGCUGUGUUCCCAUCUUGAGCUUGUGAUUCUCUGGUGGUUUUCUACAGUUCAUAGCUGGUCCUGGUUCUUGCAGAAUGGAGUCCCAUUUUAUCCUUUUUCAUUUAGCCAUUUGUUCCUCGUUGUCCCCUAUCUCUCCAGAUCCGCAGAUCUGCUUAUUUGAUUGUGUUCCAAGUUAUACCAUGAACCUGGCCAGUAUCUUUUUAGGCUUUUUGUUGUAAUCAUGAAAGUACACAUAGAAGGAGGCUCUCUCUAUAUAUAUAUAGCUGUGAUGCCUUGGCUCCUGGCUCCAGGUAGAAUCAAAUUGAAAGCAGAUUCCUCAGCUAAUCAUCUUUGCUUUUUUUGCUCUUAAAACACUGCUAAGGACGCAGUUGCUACAGUAUCUGCCAGGAAAGAUUGAAUUUCUUGCUGUUGAUCAAGUAAUGACAUGCUUCCCCUGCAGGCUCAUUAUGAGUUAGGAUAGGACAGCAUCAGGGGUUUCCCAUCCACCCAAGAGCUCUGAUGACAUGCACAUGGUCUCCUGCCAUCUUUGCCCUCAUGGUUCUUGUAGCUGCCAUAGUGUUUUUUUGUUACAUGUUAACGUCAUGUUCAGCAAUCAGACCUUUGAGCCAUGCUUAGCUCAUCGCAGAGCCUCUGAAUGCAACUAGAGGAAACUAUGGCAGUUGGAAGAUAAAGGAGGCUUUUACGUAAGGUUACCUGCCUUGCAGGAUGGAUACCCAGAGGUACCAGUCUCCAGAGCAUGUCCCCAACACAUCCCUUCUAGUGUACAUGGUUGUGAUGGUCCAAUUCCAGAGGGUACAUAUCUUCAACCCUGGCUUGAUGGAAAGACAGACUGUUUCUACUGGUAUUUAAAUUUUUUGAAAAAGAAAUAAAGUUUGAAGACAGGUAUGACUGGAUAUUCCUGAGACCCAAAUACUUGAGCCCCGAUACUCAAGUUAAACUUCCUAAAUCCCGCCUCCUCCUUCCCCUUGCCUGCCUAGAGAGCUAGGAACAGUGUUUGUACCCAUCAGCCAUAGGACUCACAAUAAUACAACCACAAACUUGAGCAUGACCUACACAUUUGGCUUGCCCAAACCCCUCUAAAUAUUGAGGAAGAAGUGUGGCUUGAUAGCACAGAGGAUCCAAAGGACAGACCCAGUCUAGCUGCCACCAGUGCCAGUUUCCUAGGUGUCGUUCUGUCUUAGUUGACCCCCUACCUUGGGGCCUUCAGCAUCAUGCAGUACAGCUGGGACUCGAAUUUGACGUUCUUUUCAUUUUGUAUAGUACUCUUGUUCUUCCAACAACUUUACUCUUUGCCUGAAACUCAUUCGCCAUGCCACAACUUAGCUAUUGAAUAAGAAUUAGAGUUAUAUAACUACAAUUAUACACCAGUAUAAGAUGAUUUUAUGGGUUUCAGUUCACUUGGGAGCACCUCUGAACCACUCCAAGAUCGUGGUUGCACCACCCUGUAUCUGAUGCUUGACUUUCCACCAUUAGAGAUUCAUUCUUUUGUGGAGGCUGGACAGACCUUCCAAGCGUCUUCAUUGGAUGUAGGCCCAUCAACAGCAGAUGGGAACGGCUCACAGAUGGGAAGGAUUGCUCCCCUGUCAAGAGUCACACGGCCUUGGUGAUGACAAGACAGAGGAGAGAAGCCAUGACAGGGACUUUGGAAGUUGUAAUAAGAAUAGUUUGGGAGGUUUAAAAGGUGGUCCCCACUCCGUUGCAGAUACUCUGCAAAUGCUGUCACCUACCAAGAUGGAUCUAAAACACAGAAUGUCACCCAGGUACAUUGGUGGGAAAUACUCUGCUAAAGACAUGAGCAAGCCUGAAACUCAGGGGGAAAGGACUGGGCACUUGUACAAGCCACCAGAGGAGGCCCAGCGCUCUAACUCCUGUAUAACUGAGUUCGAGAGCUGGUGAGAAGCAGGCCUCCCCACCCUCAACCCAAAGCUUCCUUCUCCACGAAUUGUCCCGUAUGAGCACUGUAUCCAUUACUUUUCUCAAGGCUGUGACAAAGUAGGUGACAAAAGUCUGCUCAAGGAAGGGCUUUGGGGAGGGCACAGUGCCUUAUGGUGAGGAAGCCGUGCAGGAGGGUGCGUGGAGUAGCGGCUCGCAUUGCCUCUGCACUCAGGGCGCAGAGGACCAGGUACUCAGCUGGUUUCCUCCUUUGUCUUUUUACACUCAGUCUGGCAACCCAGUCCAAGGAUGGUGAUACCCACAUCCAGGGGAGGACUUCUCAGUUAAGCCUCCCUAGAAACACCCUCACAGACACACCCAGAGGUGUGUCUUUUGGAUGACUCUAAGUCCAGUCAAGUUGACAGUGUAGAUGAACCAUUAAAGGCACUUUUGUGUGUGGCUGAAAGGGGAAGGUGUUUGCAUUCUGUGAGUAGUAGAGACGUAGAUGCCAGAUGCCAGAGAGUACUCUGUAUGUCUUCUGGACAGUAGGAUGGCGUAGGGGCAGAAAUAGGAUGAAAUGGUGUUUCUGCAAGAGCCUGAGAAACUGAGCACAGGGGUGGAUGCUGACAGCUCUCUGGACCCACCCAUAUUUCUGCACAGAAUUCAGCAACCCUAGGCACAGCCCUUCACAGUCUCACGAGGGUCAUUGUUAAUGCAGGCGGCAACAAGGCAACUUAAGGUUAUCAGAAGAUGAUCUAGGGAAGCUCAAGAUGAAGGUUUAUUGCAAAUAUGAACGAUGUGGGUCUCCUAGAAACUUUCCAGAGGACCAUUACAAGCAUUCCACCAGAAGAGGGAUCCAGGGAGGACCCUGGAGCCUUGCUCCCUAAUGUGAUGCAGGCCAUGGUCUCCUAGUGAUAUCAUCAGAUCUCUACCUGAAACGCUACAAUAACAACCCACAGGCUCAUUGGUCCACUCGCUUGACAUCUUGCACACCCAAAAGCAGGCUGUGAUUCUACAGGGGUGGCGAGGUGGGGAAAGGGGCGAGACAAGAAUGGUACAAGAACCAAGAGGAGGAGAGAAAAGCCUCCUCUUUGUUGCACUGACAUGAGACGAAAGAAGCAAAGGAGAGGGCAAGAUUUGAACUCAGUCUUUCAGUCAGAAAACUAUGAUUUGACAUUCCAAGGCAUAGUUCAUGGAACAGGAAGAAGAGUUCAGAUACUGAGUUUAAUUCAUCUCAGUGCAGCAUAAGAUGUCCUGCAAGGGUUGACAAUAGAUUAGAGGGGAAAGAGAAGGUAGGGGAAGGGAAAAGCAGGAAGGAGGGAUGAAAGAAGAAAUAAGUAAGGAAACCAACAGGACCAUCUUUGCAUGCUGGAAAAUGGGCACACAAGCAAUUUAUCCUGACGUCACCACCCUCAAUUCUUCCGCCAGCCUCUUGCCAAUGCGCUGGAUCCUUUUCUUCCCUCCUGUGAUGAACUCCAUUUUCAGGAUCCUCUAGAUAAGUUCUGGCAUCUCUGGAUGGGCAUUGUAUAAGCUGAAUUUUUCCAGCAGUUAAAAGCCAAUGUCUUCCAGACCUGCAAAGUCAUUAUGCAACCCGAGCGACACCCUUGAGAGAACUUACUAAGCAGAUGUGACAGACAGCGCGGAGGGCAGGAAUACAGGUUGAUAGGUGUCAGUUAGGUAUAGUCGCUCUUGUCUAUGGCUAUCCCCACGUUGACAGGUCCUCUGGCCUCAGGGCUGGCGUGUACUUUUUGCACUUGUCCCUGUACGCAAGAGUCCAAGAGUAGAGUGUGUCACCUCUCUCAUUUAUUAGGGACUCCAGUGAACUUGUUUUGAGGUUAGGUGCAUCAGAGCAGCCCCAAACAGUGUGCUUUGCCAGUCCCCUACUCCAUUUUGUUGACAGGCAUGGGGGUACUUGGGAAAGUUAAGUGAGGGGUCCCAGGUCACCGAGUUAGUUAUACACCAGAUCCCAAAUUUAAGACCAAAGUCUGUGAUCCUCUGCUGGUGGUGACAGGAAAACCAAGCUUAUGUGAAAUCUGAUCGCUGAAUCUGUUACCUGGUCCCUUAGCUCAGGCCUCUCAACCUUUCUCACCCAUCUGCCCUUGACACACACAAUGGGGGAAUGCAAUGAAGUGCAAUGGUGGGCACUGGAAACUGAGGCUGUCAGGAGGAUCUGGAGGGUAUGACGGGGGCACAUGCAUCCCAGGAUCCUCACCAUGCACAGCUCACACUAACGACACGAGGUCCGGGAGAAAGAGUCCAGCCACAGAAGACAGAUCUACUCGGAAAGCAUACAUGCAGGAGAAAAUAGUCCAUGGCCAUGGCGAGUCACAGAUGCAUUUGGACCACACGGAUACAGAUCACAGAAGGUCUUGGAAACAUCGAAACAGUUCCUGUUGUCUAGCAUUUGGGAGGUCUCUGGGCACCGAAAAGACGACCACUGAAAAGCACCACAGGACUCAGUGACUCUCUUGAAUUUUCUUAACACUGACAGACUCAGGCUAUAGACACAUCUUUCUGAUCCAAUGUGAUUCCGAUGUCACAGAUCUGCCUCAGCAUGCUGACCUCAGUUUUGGAUGCAGUGGAUGUUUUCACACAUGAUAUUAGGGCAGAUAAGGGAAGGAAGAUGGAGUUUUUGUCUUAUGAGGAUUCAGGCUAUAUCUCUAGAUACCUGUUUAGUUAAUAUUUGACAAGAUAUACUAAGACAAUACUACUUUUGGAAACCCAUCACAUGGAAAUAAAGGCUCCUAUUCACAA